rnacentral:rRNA from 1 species
GAUGAACGCUAGCGGCAGGCCUAAUACAUGCAAGUCGAACGGUGUAGCAAUACACAGUGGCGCACGGGUGCGUAACACGUAUGCAACCUACCUUACAUUGGGGGAUAGCCUUUCGAAAGGGAGAUUAAUACCGCAUAAGACAGUAACUAGGCAUCUAGUAGCUGUUAAAGAUUUAUCGAUGUAAGCUGGGCAUGCGUCCAAUUAGUUAGUUGGCGAGGUAAUGGCUCACCAAGACGAUGAUUGGUAGGGGAACUGAGAGGUCAAUCCCCCACACUGGCACUGAGAUACGGGCCAGACUCCUACGGGAGGCAGCAGUAGGGAAUAUUGGGCAAUGGGCGCAAGCCUGACCCAGCCAUGCCGCGUGCAGGAAGAAGGCGUUAUGCGUUGUAAACUGCUAUUAUACAGGAAGAAACGACCCUUGCGAGGGGCAUUGACGGUACUGUAUGGAUAAGCACCGGCUAACUCCGUGCCAGCCGCCGCAGUAAAAC